rnacentral:rRNA from 1 species
GAUGAACGCUAGCGGCAGGCUUAACACAUGCAAGUCGAGGGGCAGCAUGCGGGUUAGCAAUAACCUGUGAUGGCGACCGGCGCAAGGGUGCGUAACGCGUGAGCAACUUGCCCGUUUCAGGGGGAUAACCGGUGGAAACGCCGCCUAAUACCCCAUGGUAUCAUUUGGAGGCAUCUCCGUAUGAUUAAAGAGUUUCGGAAACGGAUAGGCUCGCGUGACAUUAGCUAGAUGGCGGGGUAACGGCCCACCAUGGCGACGAUGUCUAGGGGUUCUGAGAGGAAGGUCCCCCACACUGGAACUGAGACACGGUCCAGACUCCUACGGGAGGCAGCAGUUGAGGAAUAUUGGUCAAAUGGUCUGACGACUGAACCAGCCAUGCCGCGUGAACGGUGACGGCCCCUAUGGGUCUUAAACGUUCUUUUGCAAGGGAGCAAUAAGGGUUACGUGUAGCCCGAUGAGAGUACCUUGCGAAUAAGCAUCGGCUAAC